rnacentral:rRNA from 1 species
UACGGGGGGGGCAAGCGUUGUUCGGAAUUACUGGGCGUAAAGGGCUCGUAGGCGGCCAACUAAGUCAGACGUGAAAUCCCUCGGCUUAACCGGGGAACUGCGUCUGAUACUGGAUGGCUUGAGUUCGGGAGAGGGAUGUGGAAUUCCAGGUGUAGCGGUGAAAUGCGUAGAUAUCGUAAGGAAGACCAGUGGCGAAGGCGGGUCUCUGGACAGUUCCUGACGCUGAGGCACGAAGGUCAGGGGAGCAAACGGG